GACGAACGCUGGCGGCGUGCUUAACACAUGCAAGUCGAACGGAAAGGCCCUGCUUGCAGGGUACUCGAGUGGCGAACGGGUGAGUAACACGUGGGUGAUCUGCCCUGCACUUCGGGAUAAGCUUGGGAAACUGGGUCUAAUACCGGAUAGGAACCAUCUUUAGUGUGGUGGUUGGAAAGUUUUUUCGGUGUAGGAUGAGCUCGCGGCCUAUCAGCUUGUUGGUGGGGUAAUGGCCUACCAAGGCGGCGACGGGUAGCCGGCCUGAGAGGGUGUACGGCCACAUUGGGACUGGGAUACGGCCCAGAAUCCUACGGGAGGCAGCAGUGGGGAAUAUUGCACAAUGGGCGCAAGCCUGAUGCAGCGACGCCGCGUGGGGGAUGAAGGCCUUCGGGUUGGAAACUCCUUUCGCUAGGGACGAAGCUUUUUGUGACGGUACCUAGAUAAGAAGCACCGGCUAACUACGUG
rnacentral:rRNA from 1 species